CAAUAGCGUAUAUUUAAGUUGUUGCAGUUAAGAAGCUCGUAGUUGGAUUUCGGGUGGGACGCAGCGGUCUCGCAUUGCGUUUGUACUGCUGCAGCCCUCCUUCUUGCCGGGGGCGGCCUCUCGGACUUCACUGUCUGGGGGUCAGAAUCGGCGAUGUUACUUUGAGUAAAUUAGAGUGUUCAAAGCAAGCUUACGCUCUGAAUAUAAUAGCAUGGGAUAACACGACAGGACUCUGGCCUAUCGUGUUGGUCUAUAGGACCAGAGUAAUGAUUAAGAGGGACAGUCGGGGGCAUUCGUAUUCCGUUGUCAGAGGUGAAAUUCUUGGAUUUACGGAAGACGAACAUCUGCGAAAGCAUUUGCCAAGGAUGUUUUCAUUGA
rnacentral:rRNA from 1 species